rnacentral:rRNA from 1 species
UACGUAGGUGGCAAGCGUUGUCCGGAAUUAUUGGGCGUAAAGCGCGCGCAGGCGGUCCUUUAAGUCUGAUGUGAAAGCCCACGGCUCAACCGUAGAGGGUCAUUGGAAACUGGGGGACUUGAGUGCAGAAGAGGAAAGCGGAAUUCCACGUGUAGCGGUGAAAUGCGUAGAUAUCGGAAGGAACACCAGUGGCGAAGGCGACUGCCUGGACUGAUACUGACGCUGAGGCGCGAAAGCGUGGGGAGCAAACAGG